rnacentral:rRNA from 1 species
AAAAGCUCGUAGAUUGGAUCUCAGGCAUGGGCGCGCGGUCCGCCUCGCGGCGGUUACUGCGUGAUUUUCCCAUCCUACGCUUCCCGGUUUUUCAGCCCAUGGUGCUCUUCAUUGAGCGUUUUGGGUGGCCGGAACGUUUACUUUGAAGAAAUUAGAGUGUUCAAAGCAGGCAUGUCGCCUGAAUAAUGUUGCAUGGAAUAAUAGAAUAGGACCUCGGUUCUAUUUUGCUGGUUUUCGGAACACGAGGUAAUGAUUAAGAGGGACAGACGGGGGCAUCCGUAUUGCGGUGUUAGAGGUGAAAUUCUUGGAUCAUCGCAAGACGAACAACUGCGAAAGCAUUUGCCAGCCAUGUUUUCAUUAGUCAAGAACGAAAGUCAGAGGUUCGAAGACGAUCAGAUACCGUCGUAGUUCUGACCAUAAACGAUGCCAACUAGCGAUUCGCUGGUGUUGCUUCAUCGACUCUGCGGGCAGCUUCCGGGAAACCAAAGUUUUCGGGUUCCGGGGGAAGUAUGGUUGCAAAGCUGAAACU